rnacentral:ncRNA from 3 species
UUCCUAUGCACAUACUUCUUU